AGGCUAGCUUCUACCUUCUCUGUGCGUUCACAACAGUAGAAACUCAACGGAGUGACGAUUAACAUAUGCUGCUCCGACUCCUGGAUGAGCUUUCUCGACCUGCGCACAAGGAGACAGGCAGAGCGCGCUCACAAGCAGGAAUACAAUAAGAUGAACAGCACCCUCUCCAAGUCCCGGGGAUGGAGUGUACUCGCUCUAGAGCUGAAUGUUUUUAAGACGUCAACCCAAUUUAGUUAAACUCAGGCAUGCUGCAUAUAGCUGCCUUCAGUAAAAAUAGCUGUGUUAACUGACAGCAUGUCACCACUUCUAAAAUUGGUCCUCAUGAAGCUACAAAAUGUAACAACGUUGCAUCCUGGAUGCUCUGCAGCAGAUAAAAAAAAGAUCUUGCAGAGGGUAAUAAAACCAGCAGAAAAGAUCACUGGCUCUGGUCUUCUGUUGCAAUCAAAGAGACUGCAGAAGCAAAGACACCACUCAAGAGCUUUAUAUAAGAGUCACUAAAGACAGAUCUCAUUCUGCACUCACUGUUUGACCUGUGCUAGAUGCUACAGGUCCAUCAAAACAAGGACACGUAGACUAAAGAGCUGUUUUUAUUCAGCUGUGCUACAUCAAGCAUCAUUACUGCAAUACACUAUGAGAAGUUCUAUUUAAUUCUCGACUCCUUCAUAUUAAAAAUUAUUUAUUAUCUUUUA